GAUGAACGCUGGCGGCGUGCCUAAUACAUGCAAGUCGAGCGAACAGACGAGGAGCUUGCUCCUCUGACGUUAGCGGCGGACGGGUGAGUAACACGUGGAUAACCUACCUAUAAGACUGGGAUAACUUCGGGAAACCGGAGCUAAUACCGGAUAAUAUAUUGAACCGCAUGGUUCAAUAGUGAAAGACGGUUUUGCUGUCACUUAUAGAUGGAUCCGCGCCGCAUUAGCUAGUUGGUAAGGUAACGGCUUACCAAGACAACGAUGCGUAGCCGACCUGAGAGGGUGAUCGGCAACACUGGAACUGAGACAGGGUCCAGACUCUUACGGGAGGCAGCAGUAGGGAAUCUUCGGAAAUGGGCGAAAGCCUGACGGAGCAACGCCGCGUGAGUGAUGAAGGUCUUCGGAUCGUAAAACUCUGUUAUUAGGGAAGAACAAAUGUGUAAGUAACUAUGCACGUCUUGACGGUACCUAAUCAGAAAGCCACGGCUAACUACGU
rnacentral:rRNA from 1 species